rnacentral:rRNA from 1 species
UCCUUCGGGGUGAGUGGCAGACGGGUGAGUAACGCGUGGGAACGUGCCCUUCAGUUCGGAAUAACCCAGGGAAACUUGGGCUAAUACCGGAUACGUGCGAGAGCAGAAAGAUUUAUCGCUGAAGGAUCGGCCCGCGUCUGAUUAGCUGGUUGGUGGGGUAAUGGCCCACCAAGGCGACGAUCAGUAGCUGGUCUGAGAGGAUGAUCAGCCACAUUGGGACUGAGACACGGCCCAAACUCCUACGGGAGGCAGCAGUGGGGAAUAUUGGACAAUGGGCGCAAGCCUGAUCCAGCCAUGCCGCGUGAGUGAUGAAGGCCUUAGGGUUGUAAAGCUCUUUCGUCCGGGACGAUAAUGACGGUACCGGAAGAAGAAGCCCCGGCUAACUUCGUGCCAGCAGCCGCGGUAAUACGAAGGGGGCUAGCGUUGUUCGGAAUCACUGGGCGUAAAGGGCGCGUAGGCGGCUUUGUAAGUCGGGGGUGAAAGCCUGUGGCUCAACCACAGAAUUGCCUUCGAUACUGCAUGGCUUGAGACCGGAAGAGGUUAGUGGAACUGCGAGUGUAGAGGUGAAAUUCGUAGAUAUUCGCAAGAACACCAGUGGCGAAGGCGGCUGACUGGUCCGGUUCUGACGCUGAGGCGCGAAAGCGUGGGGAGCAACAGGAUUAGAUACCCUGGUAGUCCACGCCGUAAACGAUGAAUGCCAGCCGUUGGCGAGCUUGCUCGUCAGUGGCGCAGCUAACGC